rnacentral:rRNA from 1 species
GAUGAACGCUAGCGGGAGGCUUAAUACAUGCAAGUCGAGCGGUAAGGUUUUCGGACCCUAGAGCGGCGAACGGGUGAGUAACGCGUACGAAACCUGCCUUUAAGAGAGGGAUAGCCCUGGGAAACUGGGAGUAAUACCUCAUAGUAUUCAAUAACCGCAUGGUUUAUGGAUUAAAGCUGCGGCGCUUAAAGAUGGUCGUGCGUCUGAUUAGCUAGUUGGUAGGGUAACGGCCUACCAAGGCUACGAUCAGUAGGGGGCGUGAGAGCGUGGCCCCCCACACGGGUACUGAGACACGGACCCGACUCCUACGGGAGGCAGCAGUAAGGAAUAUUGGGCAAUGGACGGAAGUCUGACCCAGCCAUCCCGCGUGCAGGACGAAGGCCUUCGGGUUGUAAACUGCUUUUGUACGGAACGAAAAAGUCCGGGUUAAUACCCUGGGCCCAUGACGGUACCGUAAGAAUAAGCACCGGCUAACUACGUG